UUUAUUAUUACCUCCUUGAGUAGGUACCCAUUCCCAUUCCCCUUCAUCUACCAGGUGCCCCUCUAUUGCCUGACAGUGAGAGGCAUAAAAGACAGUGGGAACCAAGGAGAGCAUUGCUGCACUCCCAGACCUCAUGGAACCAAGGAUCCAUUGUGACACUGUGGGGCCCAAGGAUCCAAGGGACUUUGAGACACCAAUGGGUUCCAUGGAACCAAAGGAACAUUGUGACACGGGGAGGCCUCAUGGAAUCAUGGAGACCAUGUGACACUCUGGGGCCUCAGGGAACUGUGGUGACAACAAGUUGGCCAGGAGUGUGGAUCUACUGGAGGGUAGGAGGGCUCUGCAGAGGGCCCUGCACAGGCUGGAUCCAGGGACCAAAUCCAACAAGGGCAGACAUCUGCUGAUAACAGGCUAUUGAAUGUCACUGCAUGACUGAUAAGAACUACAGCAUCCCAUUGUGAGAUGAUCUGCCCAGAGGGGAGAACCAAGCAUUCCUACCAGAUAUAAUCUUAAAAAUUCUGGAACACCAACAUGGCUUUCUCCACUGGAUUUCCCAGAGGAACAGCUGCUGCCUCUUCCACUGGAUCUUCAGAGGAAGACUACACCUUUCUACAGGAUCCCUGCUCAAACAGAACCGCACCUGACACUCCAGGAGGAGUGCAGCCAUAUUUCCAAUUGGACUGCUACCAACACCGUGACCAGCAGGGUGUCAGGUUGUGUUCUGACUCUGUCAGUGUUGUCUUGCUUUACUGCAUUGUUUAUUUUAUCUUUUUAUUUGUUUCCCUAAUAAAGAACUGUUAUUCCUGCUCCCAUA